CGAGGAUGAAAGUCCGCUCCAGUCCUGGAGAGGCUGGCCUUGCUCAUGGUUUCUGCUAGCCUGCUUUCCCCAGCACCCCCUCCCGGUUUUAAAUUUUAUUUAUGACUUUAUCAGAGGCACCUAGCAGACAUGAACCCCAGGGUGGGACUUCAGGGGUGAUCUCAGAGGCAGGCGGCACAGUGUUGAGGGCAUGCCACUGUAGCGGGAGCUGCCGCUUGGCCUGGCCUGGUCGGCGAUGGGGUUAGUCAUUAUAAGAAGCCAGAGAUGUUCCCCCUGGUCCAUGGAAGAUGGUGACAGUGCUCAUUGGAUGAGAAGUUUGGUCUUCUGCAGAGGCUGAUGGGUAAACCCCAGGAUUAAAACAGACCCCAAAAGGCACUUUGUCUCCUUUUCACUAGGCUCACAGGCGUGAUCAAAGGCAAGGAGCAAAGAUCAGAGCCUCAGAAGAGCUGGGACCAGGGCCUCAUAGUGUAGUUGCUAUUCGUCAAAGCUUCAGGGUCCCCUCUGCUGCCACAGAGAAUAAAUACCCUGGUCCACAGACGGUGGCCAGAUUGAGAUUCUUGAGUACACAGUGGGGCCAGCCAGGGCAUCUCCAUUUUGGAAUAUUGACUUUUGAGGACUCAACACUCGCACAAAAGAGGAGGCCCUGAAAACGAAACCGGCUCUUUGUCGGAUUUGCUCACUGCUGGAUACGACAUAAGGAAUGGGGUAAGCAGGGCCUGGUGGAGUGGGCCGCAGUGUGGGCUGGUGGGGAGAUGGGUGUUCUGUUUUUGUAUGAAACCAGGGCCCAGCCUGGGGUGGCUCCUCAACUGUGUAGGACCCUGCUAUGCCAUAGACCCUCCCAGGUGAGGGGUCUCCAAGUUGCUGGCAGAGGCUGGCCAGGCCAAGCGCCCGGCAGUGUGCGGCCAUGAGGCUCACUCAUCCCCUCCGCCGUGGCCGGGUGUGGUGCAUCUGCCUUAGCACAUGCAGACCUGUGCUUGGCUUUUCUCGAUGGGGCAUCUGGAGCUCCGCAGUGGGUC
rnacentral:lncRNA from 1 species